GAACGCUGGCGGCAGGCCUAACACAUGCAAGUCGAACGGUAGCACAGAGAGCUUGCUCUCGGGUGACGAGUGGCGGACGGGUGAGUAAUGUCUGGGAAACUGCCUGAUGGAGGGGGAUAACUACUGGAAACGGUAGCUAAUACCGCAUAACGUCGCAAGACCAAAGAGGGGGACCUUCGGGCCUCUUGCCAUCAGAUGUGCCCAGAUGGGAUUAGCUAGUAGGUGGGGUAACGGCUCACCUAGGCGACGAUCCCUAGCUGGUCUGAGAGGAUGACCAGCCACACUGGAACUGAGACACGGUCCAGACUCCUACGGGAGGCAGCAGUGGGGAAUAUUGCACAAUGGGCGCAAGCCUGAUGCAGCCAUGCCGGGUGUAUGAAGAAGGCCUUCGGGUUGUAAAGUACUUUCAGCGGGGAGGAAGGUGUUGCGGUUAAUAACCGCAGCAAUUGACGUUACCCGCAGAAGAAGCACCGGCUAACUCCGUGCCAGCAGCCGCGGUAAUACGGAGGGUGCAAGCGUUAAUCGGAAUUACUGGGCGUAAAGCGCACGCAGGCGGUCUGUCAAGUCGGAUGUGAAAUCCCCGGGCUCAACCUGGGAACUGCAUUCGAAACUGGCAGGCUAGAGUCUUGUAGAGGGGGGUAGAAUUC
rnacentral:rRNA from 1 species